rnacentral:rRNA from 1 species
CAGGCCUAACACAUGCAAGUCGAGCGGCAGCACAGAGGAACUUGUUCCUUGGGUGGCGAGCGGCGGACGGGUGAGUAAUGCCUAGGAAAUUGCCCUGAUGUGGGGGAUAACCAUUGGAAACGAUGGCUAAUACCGCAUGAUGCCUACGGGCCAAAGAGGGGGACCUUCGGGCCUCUCGCGUCAGGAUAUGCCUAGGUGGGAUUAGCUAGUUGGUGAGGUAAUGGCUCACCAAGGCGACGAUCCCUAGCUGGUCUGAGAGGAUGAUCAGCCACACUGGAACUGAGACACGGUCCAGACUCCUACGGGAGGCAGCAGUGGGGAAUAUUGCACAAUGGGCGCAAGCCUGAUGCAGCCAUGCCGCGUGUAUGAAGAAGGCCUUCGGGUUGUAAAGUACUUUCAGUCGUGAGGAAGGUGGUGUUGUUAAUAGCAGCAUCAUUUGACGUUAGCGACAGAAGAAGCACCGGCUAACUCCGUGCCAGCAGCCGCGGUAAUACGGAGGGUGCGAGCGUUAAUCGGAAUUACUGGGCGUAAAGCGCAUGGCAGG